rnacentral:rRNA from 1 species
GAUGAACGCUGGCGGCGUGCCUAAUACAUGCAAGUCGAGCGAACAGACGAGGAGCUUGCUCCUCUGACGUUAGCGGCGGACGGGUGAGUAACACGUGGAUAACCUACCUAUAAGACUGGGAUAACUUCGGGAAACCGGAGCUAAUACCGGAUAAUAUAUUGAACCGCAUGGUUCAAUAGUGAAAGACGGUUUUGCUGUCACUUAUAGAUGGAUCCGCGCCGCAUUAGCUAGUUGGUAAGGUAACGGCUUACCAAGGCAACGAUGCGUAGCCGACCUGAGAGGGUGAUCGGCCACACUGGAACUGAGACACGGUCCAGACUCCUACGGGAGGCAGCAGUAGGGAAUCUUCCGCAAUGGGCGAAAGCUAGACGGAGCAACGCCGCGUGAGUGAUGAAGGACUUCGGAUCGUAAAACUCUGUUAUUAGGGAAGAACAAAUGUGUAAGUAACUAUGCACGUCUUGACGGUACCUAAUCAGAAAGCCACGGCUAACUACGUG